AUUGAACGCUGGCGGCGUGCUUAACACAUGCAAGUCGAUCGGUAACGCGGGGGCAACCCUGGCGACGAGAGGCGGACGGGUGAGGAACGCUUGGGAAUCUGCCUAUCAGCGGGGGACAACACGGGGAAACUCGUGCUAAUACCGCAUACGCUCUACGGAGGAAAGCCGGGGACCGCAAGGCCUGGCACUGAUAGAUGAGCCCAAGCCGGAUUAGCUAGUUGGCGGGGUAACGGCCCACCAAGGCGACGAUCCGUAGCUGGUCUGAGAGGACGAUCAGCCACACUGGGACUGAGACACGGCCCAGACUCCUACGGGAGGCAGCAGUGGGGAAUAUUGGACAAUGGGGGAAACCCUGAUCCAGCGACGCCGCGUGGGUGAAGAAGGCCUGCGGGUUGUAAAGCCCUUUCGGUAGGGACGAAAGCUCUCGACCUAACACGUCGGGUGGUUGACUUAACCUACAAAAGAAGCACCGGCUAACUACGUGCCAGCAGCCGCCGUAAUAC
rnacentral:rRNA from 1 species